ensembl:snoRNA
AUACUGUGACAGUUGCAUCGUUCAGCAGAUUGAAUCAUGAAGAGAUAUAUACCAUCUGUUUGCUGUAUCU